GCGGCCGCGGGGCUGCGCGGCGGUGGCGGCGGUGAGUUGAGACGCAGGAGGCGAGGGGCAGCUUUGAGCCCUGUCCCAAGAGCCUCGGUGAAGGAAGGGGCCCCGGGCGCGUCUCCACUCCAAGCCUCACUGGGGGCUGGGUUGGCCGCCCCUUCCGAUCUCGUUAGAGGCUCCUCCAGGGCGUAGCCCUUCCACUGAGAGGAAACCCCUCCCAGGAGGGUCUGGGGGCCCCAGGCAGAGCAUUAUCAGUGUCCCUCCCCCAACAGAAAGCAUGGGUGGGGGUGGGGGCGCUGCCGGAUCCCUGCUCUGGUGGAUGGGAAACUUGUGAGGGGCUGGUAAGCGCCCCCUCCGAAGCCUGGUGUGUGCGCGGGGGAAGGAAGUUAGUUUCCUCUCCACCCAUGGGCACCCCUUCUGCCCGGGGCCUGGGAAGUGGGCUGCUCUGUGGGCAAAUGCUGGGGCCUCUGAAAUGGAGGAGACGCAGCAGGGAGAGGCCCCACGUGGGCAGCUGCGCUGAGAGUCAGCAGCACCUGUCCCCCAGGCGCUCCUCCUGGUGCUGCUGGGGGCCCGGGCCCAGGGCGGCACUCGUAGCCCCAGGUGUGACUGUGCCGGUGACUUCCACAAGAAGAUUGGUCUGUUUUGUUGCAGAGGCUGCCCAGCGGGGCACUACCUGAAGGCCCCUUGCACGGAGCCCUGCGGCAACUCCACCUGCCUUCUGUGUCCCCAAGACACCUUCUUGGCCUGGGAGAACCACCAUAAUUCUGAAUGUGCCCGCUGCCAGGCCUGUGAUGAGCAGGCCUCCCAGGUGGCGCUGGAGAACUGUUCAGCAGUGGCCGACACCCGCUGUGGCUGUAAGCCAGGCUGGUUUGUGGAGUGCCAGGUCAGCCAAUGUGUCAGCAGUUCACCCUUCUACUGCCAACCAUGCCUAGACUGCGGGGCCCUGCACCGCCACACACGGCUACUCUGUGAGUACCCCCACCCAGGGCUCUCUACUCCCAGACCCCCUUCUCCCUGCCUGACCCACUCCUGUCCCAUGGUGACGCAUGCCUCUCCUGGAUUGCAGGUUCCCGCAGAGAUACUGACUGUGGGACCUGCCUGCCUGGCUUCUAUGAACAUGGCGAUGGCUGCGUGUCCUGCCCCACGUAAUUCCUAGCUGUCGUGGGAUGGAGGGAAGGGCGGCUGGGAGCAGGGCAGGGACCUGGGGUGGGGCAGGUGCUGCUGGUUCAGGAAUAGGAAGAGGGGAUAGGGAGGAGGGAGCCUUGGCCCUGUGAUGGGUGGGCCCCACUUCAGGCAAACUUAGAUGGCAAAAGAGCAAUCUGGAUCCGCCUUAGCCAGAUACAUAAGGGUAUUUGCCUUCACUUUCAGCCAGCAUUCCCCCCAGCGAUCCUAGCCAGAUAUUACAGAUGAUUUGUCACUUAUACAGAGAGUCACAUUGAUAUAGCUUUAAAACUUGGGCUGAAGGAGGUUGAGGCUGCAGUGAGCUAUGAUCGUGCCACUGCACUUCAGCCUGGGCAACAGAGCGAGACCUAUUAAAUAAAUAAAUAAAUAUUAAAUCUAUUAAAUAUUAAAUAAAUAUUAAAUCUAUUAAAUAAAUAACUACAAAGGGCUGAGAGUCAGGACUGUGCUGCUAGUUCUCUAGGGGAUCUUGGGCAAGUGCAGAGAAUUCGCGUCUCUGAUGUGUGGUGUCCCUUUCUCAACAAGGGAUGUUAGCAGCUAAUUCACAGGCCUUUGAUCAGAGGUAAGGGACUUUCUGUAGCUAUUCAAGUCUUUUUUUUUUUUUUUUUUUUUGAGAUGGAGACUUGCUCUGUCACCCAGGCUGGAGUGCAGUGGCACGAUCUUGGCUCACUACAACCUCUGCCGCCUGGGUUCAAGUGAUUCUCCUGCCUCAGCCUCCCAAGUAGCUGGGACUACAGGAGCCCACCACCACCCCCGGCUAAUUUUUUGUAUUUUUAGUAGAGACGGGGUUUCACCAUGUUAGCCAAGAUGGUCUUGAUCUCCUGACCUCGUGAUCCACCCGCCUUGGCCUCCCAAAGUGCUGGGAUUACAGGCAUGAGCCACCGCGCCCGGCCUCCAUUCAAGUCUUUAUUGAAUAUCUGCUAUGUUCUACACACUGUUCUAGGUGCUGGGGAUGCAACAGAGGACAAAAUAGGCAAAAUCCCUGUCCUUUUGGGGUUGACAUUCUAGUGACUCUUCAUGUAGUCUAGAAGAAGCUCAGUGAAUAGUGUCUGUGGUUGUUACCAGGGACACAAUGACAGGAACAUUCUUGGGUAGAGUGAGAGGCCUGGGGAGGGAAGGGUCUCUAAGAUGGAGCAGAUGCUGGGCAGUCUUAGGGAGCCCCUCCUGGCAUGCACCCCCUCAUCCCUCAGGCCACCCCCGUCCCUUGCAGGAGCACCCUGGGGAGCUGUCCAGAGCGCUGUGCCGCUGUCUGUGGCUGGAGGCAGAGUAGGUGGUGUGCUGGGAAUGCGAGUGGGAGAACUGGGAUGGGCCGAGGGGAGGCGGGUGAGGAGGGGGGCAACCACCCAACACCCACCAGCUGCUUUCAGUGUUCUGGGUCCAGGUGCUCCUGGCUGGCCUUGUGGUCCCCCUCCUGCUUGGGGCCACCCUGACCUACACAUACCGCCACUGCUGGCCUCACAAGCCCCUGGUUACUGCAGAUGAAGCUGGGAUGGAGGCUCUGACCCCACCACCGGCCACCCAUCUGUCACCCUUGGACAGCGCCCACACCCUUCUAGCACCUCCUGACAGCAGUGAGAAGAUCUGCACCGUCCAGUUGGUGGGUAACAGCUGGACCCCUGGCUACCCCGAGACCCAGGAGGCGCUCUGCCCGCAGGUGACAUGGUCCUGGGACCAGCUGCCCAGCAGAGCUCUUGGCCCCGCUGCUGCGCCCACACUCUCGCCAGAGUCCCCAGCCGGCUCGCCAGCCAUGAUGCUGCAGCCGGGCCCGCAGCUCUACGACGUGAUGGACGCGGUCCCAGCGCGGCGCUGGAAGGAGUUCGUGCGCACGCUGGGGCUGCGCGAGGCAGAGAUCGAAGCCGUGGAGGUGGAGAUCGGCCGCUUCCGAGACCAGCAGUACGAGAUGCUCAAGCGCUGGCGCCAGCAGCAGCCCGCGGGCCUGGGAGCCGUUUACGCGGCCCUGGAGCGCAUGGGGCUGGACGGCUGCGUGGAAGACUUGCGCAGCCGCCUGCAGCGCGGCCCGUGACACGGCGCCCACUUGCCGCCUAGGCGCUCUGGUGGCCCUUGCAGAAGCCCUAAGUACGGUUACUUAUGCGUGUAGACAUUUUAUGUCACUUAUUAAGCCGCUGGCACGGCCCUGCGUAGCAGCACCAGCCGGCCCCACCCCUGCUCGCCCCUAUCGCUCCAGCCAAGGCGAAGAAGCACGAACGAAUGUCGAGAGGGGGUGAAGACAUUUCUCAAUUUCUCGGCCGGAGUUUGGCUGAGAUCGCGGUAUUAAAUCUGUGAAAGAAAAAAACAAAACAAAACAAAACAAAACAAAAA
rnacentral:sRNA from 1 species